CCUACGGGUGGCAGCAGUGGGGAAUAUUGGUCAAUGGGCGCAAGCCUGAACCAGCAACGCCGCGUGAGGGAUGAAGGUCCUCGGAUUGUAAACCUCUUUCAGCAGGGACGAAGCGAAAGUGACGGUACCUGCAAAAGAAGCACCGGCUAACUACGUGCCAGCAGCCGCGGUAAUACGUAGGGUGCAAGCGUUGUCCGGAUUUAUUGGGCGUAAAGAGCUCGUAGGCGGCCUGACACGUCGGAUGUGAAAACACGGUGCUUAACACCGUGCCUGCAUUCGAUACGGUCAAGCUAGAGGAUGUCAGGGGAAACUGGAAUUCCUGGUGUAGCGGUGAAAUGCGCAGAUAUCAGGAGGAACACCGGUGGCGAAGGCGGGUUUCUGGGACAUUACUGACGCUGAGGAGCGAAAGCGUGGGGAGCAAACAGGAUUAGAUACCCCUGUAGUC
rnacentral:rRNA from 1 species